AUUCAGCUGACGAGUCUCAAAUAGGACGAAACACGCGUCCUGAAU
rnacentral:hammerhead_ribozyme from 1 species